UAGAACAUUCGUCCUCAUCUAUAAAAACUCAAAGGGUACUUAGCCAUCUCUCACACUCUAAUCACUAAUUAGGGUUUUGGAUCGAUCAGCUUCCAAAGAGAGAGAAUGGUGAAGACAUCUGAGGCGUCUGAAGCCCGAGAUGAAGAGUCUGAUGAUGGUGUCGUUUCUACAGGAGAGCCUGAGCUCAGGUUUCCUACACAUCGAAUCAAUGAUUUACCAGAAAAUUGACAGAGAUCUCCUGGGGUCUUAGCUGUUUGGAUGCACAACCCCUCUUCCUAUUAUCUAGGUGCAAAAAUUGAAGAUUCACACUUGGGAAAGAGAGAGGCGUCCAACGGCCUCUAGGAUUCCAGUUAUUUCUUCAAUCAGGAAGUUCAUCAAAUCUACACCUUUCUUGUUGAGAUGCUCCAGUGGAAUCCUCACACUCCUAAUCUGUCUUAAAUCACAAUCUGCACUUAUUAACAAGUCCCCUAAUCUCUUAAGCUAGCGACGGUGAUCAACACCUUUUCGUGAAGCAAAGGCAAGGGCCUGACUGAAUGCAGUCAAUUGAGCCACUGUAAAGCAGCAUUGCCACUCCAGCAGCCUUCUGGCUUGCCACUCUAUCAGCCUUCCAUUCAAAAUCCUGGACACUCAAACUUUGAAAAGUCAAAGGACUGGCCUAAGUCUAGCCGAUUAGUUAUAUAUAUGUAUGUAUGUGCCUCAACUUUGCUGGGUUGUAUGUGGUCGUAAUCUAAUGAUUAACAAAAGAAAGGAUCACUUUUUUCUUGUUAAAACAAGGUAUAUUUCUUAUUGGAAUUAAAAAAAAAAUUCUAUCAAUAUUUUUCCAUAGUGGCCAA